rnacentral:rRNA from 1 species
CCGGCGCACGGGUGAGUAACGCGUGUGCAACCUGCCCGGCACAGUGGGAUAAUCCGGAGAAAUUCGGUCUAAUACCGCAUGACGCGGGAAGGGCGCAUGCCUUUUCCGCCAAAGGAGGCGACUCCGGUGCCGGCUGGGCACGCGUGACAUUAGCUAGUUGGCGGGGCGACGGCCCACCAAGGCGACGAUGUCUAGGGGUUCUGAGAGGAAGGUCCCCCACACUGGUACUGAGACACGGACCAGACUCCUACGGGAGGCAGCAG